rnacentral:rRNA from 1 species
GAUGAACGCUGGCGGCAUGCCUAACACAUGCAAGUCGAUCGGUAAGGCUCUUCGGAGUACACGAGAGGCGGACGGCUGAGUAACGCGUAGGAACACACCCUGCAGUGAGGGAUAAGACACCGAAAGGUGUUCUAAUACCGCAUACGGUCUUCGGAUUAAAGCAUUUAUGCGCUGAAGGAGUGGCCUGCGUCAUAUUAGAUAGUUGGUGAGGUAAUGGCUCACCAAGUCGAUGAUGUGUAGCUGGCCUGAGAGGAUGAUCAGCCAGACUGGAACUGAGACACGGUCCAGACUCCUACGGGAGGCAGCAGUGAGGAAUAUUUCACAAUGAGCGAAAGCUUGAUGGAGCAAUGCCGCGUGCAGGAUGAAGGCCCUCGGGUUGUAAACUGCUUUUAUAAGAGAAGAUUAUGACGGUAACUUAUGAAUAAGGGACGGCUAACUACGUG